rnacentral:rRNA from 1 species
AGUGAACGCUGGCGGCAGGCCUAAUACAUGCAAGUCGAACGGCAGCACAGCAGAGCUUGCUCUGUGGGUGGCGAGUGGCGGACGGGUGAGGAAUACGUGGGAAUCUGCCCAGUCGUGGGGGAUAACGUAGGGAAACUUACGCUAAUACCGCAUGCGCCCUUCGGGGAAAGCCGGGGACCUUCGGGCCUGGCGCGAUUGGAUGAGCCCACGUCGGAUUAGCUAGUUGGCGGGGUAAAGGCCCACCAAGGCGACGAUCCGUAGCUGGUCUGAGGGGAUGAUCAGCCACACUGGAACUGAGACACGGUCCAGACUCCUACGGGAGGCAGCAGUAGGGAAUAUUGGACAAUGGGCGCAAGCCUGAUCCAGCCAUGCCGCGUGAGUGAAGAAGGCCCU